CGCCUUAAUAUGCUUUGCUUUAAUAAGGAAGGAUAUGGUACUCAUCAAACGACUUUCCAGGAUGGCUCAGGACAAGGAUACAGAGCAAAAGAAGGAUCUAAAAAGGCUUGGGAGUUCUUAGCAGAAAGCUAAGGAGGAGCUGCAGGCUUCCGUGUGGAUCUUUGGGAGCCCUGUAAGUGGCCAAAUGCAAUUAGAAAGAGAUUUAUCAGGAGAUUUUUAGAAGCAGCUGCAUGUGACUUUAGGAGACAUUAACAACACUAUCCAAGCUGCAGAGGGGAGCAACAGAGGG